UCUGUUAGCUUAGAUAGUUUAGAAGUUUCAUCUGGUCUUGUUGAGAUAUAUACACUCUAAAAACAGAUGGUUCUUUAAAGGUUCUUUACAUGUAGUAACGGUUAUAUUUAGAACCAUAGCAUCCUGAAGAACCCUUUUAUGCUGAAAUGGUUCUUUGUGUUAGAGUUUAGGGUUCUUUAUUCCCGUCCUUUUGUUUUUCAAAUCUGUAACUGUCAAAGCACCUCAUUACUGAUUUUCUGGAGUUCAGUGAUACAACUACACAGACUGUCAACAGUUUUUUGGUCACAUGUAAGUGUGAGCAGCUCUUUUAAGCUGAGGAUACUUCUCUCCUCUUCUCCACUAAAUGCAUCACAUCCCACAACCUCAUCAUCUGCAGAUAAACUGUCACUCAGUCACACCAUAAUUAUGGACUUAAAGGCAUAUGAAGAUAUUUCACUGGAACUUGUUCAACAGAAUACGUAAGUGUGACCAGCCCUGUUCAGUUAAAGAUACUUAUCUCCUCUUCACCACCAAGUAACAAAGAUAGAAUUGAUAUGCUGUCACAUCCUACAACCUCGUCAUCUGCAGAGAGAAACUGACACUCAAUCACACCAAAAUAUACAUAAUGAUGGACUUUCAGGCAUCAUAGAGG